AAGGGGAUUGGUGUCAAGAGAGACAAACGGGGAUUUGCUGACACCUCCACUGUGCAUGGCUGGGGUGAGAAGCCAGGCAGAAAACAGCUGCUUCGAGGCCAGAAUUACAGGUAAAGAGUUCAGCAUCCUCCCCUUUGUGGGGGAACUGUGGAGCACGAGGCCUUCCAACGAGAGGCCCUGGCGUCAGCACAGACCACGAGAGGGCUGGGCUCAGGAUCAGCGCCACUGAAGGACCCUGCCUGCAUGGAGGCGCGUGAUCCAAUGUUCUUUCCUUGCUGGCAGCAGAAAAUGUUACUGGCUCCGAAGGAAGAUGACAACAUCCUGCCUCUUUGCUGAAGUACGUGCACAGCAUCCAAUGCACCCAGGACCUCUCAGGGCGCCAGACCCUGGCUCUGUGCUUCGGUUGCGUGACUCGGGCAAGCUUCUCAUUUCUCCCGCCUUAGUCUCCUCUCACCUCACAGGGCUGUCAUGAGGCAUGCUGGGCACAUGCAGCUCACAGAGAAGGGCUGGCUUCCUCCUUGCACCCUCGCUUCCCUCCUUCCUCUCUCCAGCAGGCAGGCUGAUUGUGGAGAUGUCUCCUGGGCAGCAUGCGUCAGCAGGGAUUUCAUGGGGACGGUGAGAAUUAGCAUCCACUCUUGCGGGCGUCAAGUCACUGAAGGACAAAUCCCCGGAGGCAGAGGAGGCUGUCACCCUUUCCCCAGGACUCCACAUCUGUGGCUGCUGGUCCCCCAAAACCCUGAGAGUUAAUAAUCCAUGCCUGACCUAGGGCAAUGGAACGAGGUCUUAUCAGGAAAAGCAGGCAGGUCCUCUGCCUUCCUAAAAAUUAAUGUUUUAUCAUCAGACUAUGAACAUGAUAAUUUUUAAAUCUCGAUGCUGGAGAUCACAGGAAAACAUUCUCUCAGGGGCAACAUGGAAAUCGCUGCUUUGCACAGGGUGACCCAGCCCACACUGUCAAUCUGGUGAACUCCCUCACUCUACAAAGCCCACCUCAAAUCCCCCCUGCUCUCUGCACAGAAAGCCGCAAAUUGUUUCCUGCAAUAAAGAGCCUGACUCCGUUUUUAUGAUGUUUGACGGCUCACUGCUUUGACACCUCACCCAUCCCUCUUCCCGUGUGCCCCACAGCAGGGCAGGUGUCUUUGGUGCCAGUGAGAGGCUCAAGCCCUGCAGGCUCCUGCCCAUGUGAGGCCAUCACCCCACCCCCGAGGCAUAAGAAGAGCCCCACGCCAGCUCCCUUCCUGAAGCCACCGUGCACCCCGUGAAAGCCCAGCUAGGUAAGUACCAGACCCUUUCAUCUCGUCCCGGUGUGUGGGGGCGUCUUCAGGGUUGACGGAGGAACCACAUUUGGGUGGGGUCCCUCCUCUUUUUCCAGAGUGACCACAGCACUCCACUAUUUCUUCUUUUCUUUCUUAUUUAUUUAUUUAUUUAUUUAUUUUUUUGAGAUGGAGUCUCAGUCUGUUGCCCAGGCUGGAGUUCAGUGGUGCUAUCUCUACUCACUGCAGCCUCUGCCUCCUGGGCUCAAGUGAUCCUCCCACGUCAGCCUCCCGAGUAGCUGGGACUACAGGCACACGCCACCACACCCGGCUAAUUUCUGUGUUUUCAGUAGAGAUGGGGUUUCACCAUGUUGCCCAGGCUGGUCUCGAACUCCUGACCUCAAGUGAUCCAUCCGCCUCGGCCUCCCAAAGUGCUGGGAUUACAGGCGUGAGCCGCCGCGCCCGGCCAGCACUCUCCAAUUUCUGAUCCAACUGCAUUGUCAUACAGAAAUCACACCUUGAUCGUGUUUACAGACUCAUUUCUACGCAUAGAUACAUGUCUCUGAUUCCAUGCACUGCAACGGUCAUUGCAUUUAAAAAAGAGGCAAACGCCAAGUCUCCCAGCGCCUUGGAAGACUCAGCCUCUGGGGGCUCCAUGGUUUCUGCUUGAAAGGCCGAUGGCUGCUUUGCAGAGAACCAGUCCUGAGACUCAUACCUUUCUAUUCCGAUGAGAGAACAUUUCUGCACAAGAACCUAGGUCAGGGUUCAUGUGUCUGUCCCUUGCGUUCUGCAAAGGACCGGAUCAUAAAUGGUGCAGCUCUGGGGGCCACCCGGGCCCUAUGGAAGGAACUUGUCCCUGCCGUCGUGGGGGAUGCAGCUGCACAUGGCCUGUGGACGUGCUCCAGGAAGGCGCCUGCGGGGGUGGCUGUGAACUCCCGCUGUCCCCAGCACAUUCCCUGUUGACACAUCCUGGCUGGGAGAUGUCUCCACAAUCAGCCUGCGUGCUCCGAAGUGAGGGGGAGAGGGGAAGGAGGGAGGUGAGGGGGCAAGGAGGAAGCCAUCACUUCUCUAUGAGCUGCGUGUGCCCAGCAGGCCUUGUGACAGCGCUGUGAGGUCGUGCACGUGAGAAGAGACUGAGGCGGGAGAAAUGAGAAAUAAAAACUGAACAUGAGUUCAAUUCAUCUUGCGUUUCCUUCAGGACAAAAUGUGAAUUUCAUGUCAGUAGUUUGUGCAACCAAGUCCUCUUUGUCCUGUGACUUUUAUUCAGGCACUGAACAGUGUAAACUGAUUCACACCUUCUGGGCUGCACCACCACAGGGGCCAGCAGGCCUGGGUCCCCCCACCCACCUGGAGUGAGGGGUGCAGUUAGGCCGGCCGGGCAUGGUCCCUGCAAUCAAGUCUCUAGAGCGGGGGUGACGGCCACGGGGCCUGAAAAGCGGUUCCAUAGUGUCUGCAGCUUCUGAGCACUGAGGGAUGAGCCCACACACGCAUCACAAAACAGCCACAGUGACCUGACCCACACUGUCCAGACGAUGGGGCCACAUAGGAUUCCCACAGUGGGAGAUGCUGACCUGGACAAGAGAGGGCAAGGGACAGAAGCUCCCAAGACCCAAGGUAGGGCCCUGCGGGCAAAAUGGCCAAGAGCCGCCUUGCACCGCAAAUGGGCCCUGAGGUCCAGGGCUGCAGGAGCAGGGUGGGGAGCCCGGCCAGAUGGAGGGGCAGACACCGGCACCCGCUGCCUACGUCACCGCCCUCAGUGCCGCCCACAAGCGGGUGCCCCACUGGGUCCCGCCACCCCAAAUCCCAGUACCAGAGCCGGGCCCGGCUCUGCCACCCCUGCCACCCUGUGUGGCACCCAGGCCCUGCUGGCACAAGGCCACGGCUAAUCUGCUCUCAGAGGAAGCUGAGGAGGCAGCCCUGCCCUCGGUGUUUCCCAAGCCCCCUUAUCCCAGCAGAUUCUUCUCGGGGAAGAUAAGCUCCCAGCUUAGCCAGGGCGGGUGGGAAGUCAGAGCUGCUUCCUUAAUUGGCAUUUUCCAGUUGAGAGCACAUUCUCUACCUUUUUCACUUGGAUCAGCUAAUUGCCAAAUGUUUUCAUUUUUGAGAAGAAGUAAAAUUGCAGAGAUUUGGGAUUUAGGGAAGGAAUGCAAGGAUCAAUUUUGCCUAAUUACGAAAUGUCUCGGCGGUCACUGUGACGGGUCCCAGAGUCGGCCGUGUGGACCCCGGGGCCUCCCGGGCGGUGGGGGGCCGGGGGCUCUGAUGCAGAUGUUUACCUGAUGUCGUGGGCCUGAAUCUGGUUUACAUUGGAAAUCAGACUGUUUACAGGCCAGCACAUCUGCCUCUUCCUCUGGCUCUCCUUCAUUCUGCUGUAAUGUUCUGCAGGUCUCGCUGGGGUCUCUGUGGGAAUAUCUGUGACACGGAGUGAGCCAGGCCAGCCCGGGGCGGCCCCAUCCGGGGACAGCAGCUCACGGCCUGGCCCCGCGUGCGCAGCCGGGGCCUGGGUUGGCGGUGGAGAUGGGGAGGGUCUGGGGCCCCUGGGUGGGUGGUGGGGGUACCGUCAGCCCGGCUGCAGGGUUCCAGCGGAGGACAGGGAGCCUUCUCCAUCCCUGAAAACCAUCGCGGGGACAGUGGACUCAUCAGGAUGCCGGGACCCUCUAGUGUGUUCUGGAAGCAGAGGCUGGGUGUGGGCACGGGAACCUGUGAUUGUCCCCAGACACCGAGAGGUCCACAGGACCCCCAGUGCCCAGACCCCGGCUGCAGAUCGGGGGGUCCAGUCAUGUGUCGGGGAAGGAGGAGAGGAGCAGGGGCCACAGACAGGGGGUCCAGGAGGGCAGGGGGUCCUGGAGGGCAGGGGGUCUAGGAGGGCAGAGGGUCCAGGAGGACAGGGGGUCCAGGAGGGCAGGGGGUCCAGGAGGGCAGAGCCACAGCAGGCUGGGUGCUGCUGCUACAGGGGGCUUCACCCCAGCAGCCCCCUGCACUGCCCCUCUGACAGCCUCCACCUUUGACCCCCCAGAACAACGGGCUGCUGUGGCGGCUCUGGAGGCUGCGGCCCCAGUCAUGGGGCCUGCGGCUGCCAUGGGCUGAGACCCUGCUGCUCUUCGUGGAGACACUGAUGUCCUUACCAGAUCUCCCGGGCCCGCCCUCAGCCUCCAGGCUGACCAGGCUUCCUGGGCCUCCUAGGACACAGCCCUGGGUCUCCUCCUCUAGGAUACUGGAUGGGAAUCUGCGGCUUCCAACAUCCACCUGCCGGCCUUUCCCUCUGCCCUGUCCCCUUGCUGCCAUGGCCGCCUUUGUCCUCCCUGGAGAUUCAGAGAGCAGCCCCGUUCUCAGUUACCUGGCCUUCUGGGUCCUUGGGAGGUUCUGACCUCUUCCCAGCAGGGGCCCUGGGGGCUGCGUCCUGCCUGGUCCAGGCCUUCUCACCCUCACCUCCCUCUGGGCUCAGGGAGCUGGGGCCACACAGCCCAAAGAGGCUGGUCUGCCCGGGACAGGCCACCCUCCUCCUACCAGUGCCCUCCCUCCUCCGGCAGCCACGCUACCUGCCCUUCCUCCCCACCUGCAAAGCCUCCUGCCAAGCCUGACACCUGGGGAUUCUGUCUCCCACACUCCAGGGGCCUCCUCCACAUGUCAGUGACCUCUGACCGCUGUUUCAGACCCACAGCUCUUGGGUGCACUCAGCCUUGGGUCCCGAUGGCACCAGAGUGUUCCACGCCUGGGGCAGCACACUCACUGCAGAUCUGGCCUGAGACUCAGCAGCCGGGCACCCCAUGAGAUCUACUUUCUGAAUGGCGUCGUCACCUGACUGGGCAUACAGGCCACGGACCCCAUGGUCAUUUGGGCACUGACCCCUCUCACACCCCCCAAAUCCCACCUGAGAGCAGCCCAUCAGGCAGGCCCCAUAUAUUGGAUGCCUCUAAGUAUCAGCCUUGAUGUCCCUCUAAUUCCAGCCCUGGUGUCUUCUCCCUGGGACACCCUGCUGCUCCCUCUAGCUGUGCCCUCCACGGUGACUCCAGACAUGCGGAUUCAGCCUCUUCGCUCCAGGACCAAACUCCUCAGCAGCUCCCACUACUCCCAGCAUGCCAUCCAGCUCCUCAGCCCAGCAGCAAAGACAGGCACAGAAUGGCUCCCGAACCCAUCGCUC
rnacentral:lncRNA from 1 species